CCUACGGGAGGCAGCAGUGAGGAAUAUUGGUCAAUGGACGAGAGUCUGAACCAGCCAAGUAGCGUGAAGGAUGACUGCCCUAUGGGUUGUAAACUUCUUUUAUAAAGGAAUAAAACGAGGCACGUGUGCCUGUUUGCAUGUACUUUAUGAAUAAGAAUCGGCUAACUCCGGGCCAGCAGCCGGGGUAAUACGGGGGAUCCGAGCGUUAUCCGGAUUUAUUGGGUUUAAAGGGAGCGUAGAUGGGUUGUUAAGUCAGUUGUGAAAGUUUGCGGCUCAACCCUAAAAUUGCAAUUGAUACUGGCAGUCUUGAGUACAGUUGAGGUAGGCGGAAUGCGCGGUGUAGCGGUGAAAUGCUUAGAUAUCACGAAGAACCCCGAUUGCGAAGGCAGCUUACUAAACUGUGACUGACAUUGAUGCUCGAAAGUGUGGGUAUCAAACAGGAUUAGAUACCCCUGUAGUC
rnacentral:rRNA from 1 species